GACGAACGCUGGCGGCGUGCCUAAUACAUGCAAGUCGAACGCUGAAGGAGGAGCUUGCUUCUCCGGAUGAGUUGCGAACGGGUGAGUAACGCGUAGGUAACCUGCCUGGUAGCGGGGGAUAACUAUUGGAAACGAUAGCUAAUACCGCAUAACAGUAGAUGUUGCAUGACAUUUGCUUAAAAGGUGCAAUUGCAUCACUACCAGAUGGACCUGCGUUGUAUUAGCUAGUUGGUGAGGUAACGGCUCACCAAGGCGACGAUACAUAGCCGACGUGAGAGGGUGAUCGGCCACACUGGGACUGAGACACGGCCCAGACUCCUACGGGAGGCAGCAGGAGGGAAUCUUCGGCAAGGGGCGGGAGUCUGACCGAGAAACGCCGCGGGAGUGAAGAAGGUUUUCGGAUCGUAAAGCUCUGUUGUAAGAGAAGAACGAGUGUGAGAGUGGAAAGUUCACACUGUGACGGUAUCUUACCAGAAAGGGACGGCUAACUACGUG
rnacentral:rRNA from 1 species